GACGCAGUGGACGAAGAUUGAGAGGUCUGAGUCUUUCGUGUUAGAUAAGAUAUAAGUCGUAACAUGGCUGCUGUUGGAGAACCAGCAGCAGGAUCAGUA
rnacentral:rRNA from 1 species